rnacentral:lncRNA from 1 species
AAAAGGGCGGCUUCAAAGGUGCAAUACUAAUACCCUUCUUAUGGAAAAAAUGAAAUUUUGCAUUUUUCCCAAUUCGCAUUGGUAGAACCCUACGCCCCAAAAUCGUCUCCAAUCGGCUGAAAGACUGUAGUAGAGGUUCGUAAAUCAGAAAGCGCCAGCGUAUAAUAAGUAAGUUUUUCACCCCUGAAGCAUAUCCACUAUCCGUAUGUCUUCUGUGGGUCAGAGAGGAAUUUGACCACCUUGUUCGGUGGGGUGAUUCUUGAUGUGGUUGCUUCGUCAUCUCCAAGAUUUUUAAUACGUUUGUCUGUUUAUGGGUCCUCGUUGAUUCUGUAAUUUACUUAUGAUAAUUAGCCUUUUUAGAUUUAGGUUUUUUUGUUUAAUUUAUAUACUAAGAUUGUUUUACAUUCUUUUCUAAUUUAUUUAGGAUUUAUUUUUGAAUAAUUUUGUUGCCGUUGAACGGUGGAGCGGGAAUACAGUUUAUGUUUACCUCUCUGCGCAAUAGUAUUUGUUGAUGCAUAUUGUACACCUUCCAUCAAUUUAGUUUUCAGAUGAUUACUUAUGGACAUUUGUGAAUGCAAUUGCAGUUGUCAAUGACAAGGAAGAGCAAGGGUGUUUGUCGUAGCUGUAGGAAGUCGGGGCAUUGGAUGUCUGACUGCUCGACGAAACGACAAUGCCCAGGCUGUUUUUUAGGCAUUGUCAAGUGUAUGGAAGUGGAGAAAAAAUCGUAAACUUCGGUUGAUUAUUAUGUUGUAGCAGAGACUGUGGUUAUUAUAGGUGGGCGCGGUCAUCCAGCCAUUGAAGAAGAACCCCCCCGUGUCUUGAAGGAGCAUCGAGCGUAGAUCAGAUUGCAGACUUGUCACGCAUGUUACAGAGUGUCGCUCACAUAGCCUAUCGGAAGGACACGAUGAUCUCCGUUAAUGUGACUAUUUGCAUUGGUAAAGGAGAUACAGAAGUCGAUGGAAAGGAAAGGAAAAAAUGCCGUGAAUUUUAGUCGAAUGUGUAAUGAAAUUAAUGGCCUGUAUUGUAGUUAGCCGAAUUUGUGGCCAAGCAAAUCUGUGUCUUGAUAGUGCAGGAAUUCUUGCCAAACUUUGUAUGAAUUUUAUUAUCAGAACUUCCUAUUUUAGCUUACUUGGAUUUUCAAGUCUUUUUUAUUGGUGUAAACUAUGUUUGAAUCAUGAAGCUGGUUA